rnacentral:sRNA from 1 species
UUGUGAAUGCUCCCCCGGCCUAUUCCAAAGUUACUUCUGAGAAAAGUCACUUUUCAAUCAGUUCUAUUGUGACUCUAGUGGUGGUUUCUGUAUCAUUUAUAGCAAUUGUAAUGUACGCAUGCUACCAGAAAAAGAAUCGUAAACUUUGUUUGAAGUUCAAGAAUAAAUUUGUACAGAUAUUAAUUCAGAAAAAGAAAACGUUUUCUAAAAAAAAUAUAAAUCCUAAGAAUGUCUACAUUGUCAACUUAUUAGAAACUACACGACCUAAUAAGUUAACGACCACUACAAAAGGAUCUAAUAGUUACCAUUUGGUGGGUUCUAGAGACGCCUCUAAAAUAUAGAAACUUCAAAAUGUCAACAGAAGUGUAGAUAGCAAGGGUUCAUGUCAUUAACUGAAAGACCACAUUAAGAUACAGAAACUUGAUAUGCUAACAAUUCUUAAUGAUAUUAAAAUUUUUUAGUUGUAAUAGUUAAAUCGAUAUAUAUACUGUUAUUGUUUUAUUAAAAUUAACAAUAAAAUUAAUA